UUUGGCUUAGAAGGUUGUCCUAACUCAGUCUUCAGGGAUCACACAAAUUGCAUUAUUAGAGAAGAUGAAAAUAAUUCAGAAUUGGGAUAACUGAAGUUUGGCUUAAGUAAUCUGGCUUAAGACAUUACCCAUGAGGGACACCACAAAAGAACCAUGAGAAGUCUAACUCCCAGCAUCUUAGGAAAGCUUCCCCCAUGAAAGACUAUGGUUCCCACCUGCACUCUGUCCUCUAUGUGGGCAGCCUCACUUCCCUCCUGACUCCUAACCAGCUCUGGAAAGCAAUGAGCAUGCAGAGAGAAACACACCAACUUCAAGGUGAAAUAGGUGGCAAGGAGAAGGCUGGAGGAGAAGAGCCUGUGGGCAUGGAAGAGGAGGCACGGGGACAUGUGUUGAGUGAUGAUAUCCAAGGGCCUCCUCACCUGCUAACGGGAUUAUGUGGGGGUCCUUUCUCAAAUCUCAAGUAGAGCAAAGACCUAGAACCAUUCAGAGCUCAUGAACAUCAGCUUACCUCCCCAUAUAGGAAAGAUUCUGCAAAGAAAUGCAUCCCAGUGCAAUGCAAUGCUGGCAGGAAAACUAAGUCUACAUGUCUGUGUGGAAGUUCUUUGGCCUUUUUUUUCCAUUUGAAUUCACAUUACCUAGCUGUCUGCCUGAAACAUCCAACCACAGAAGUUU